rnacentral:rRNA from 1 species
GAUGAACGCUAGCUACAGGCUUAACACAUGCAAGUCGAGGGGAAACGAUAUUGGAAGCUUGCUUCCGAUAGGCGUCGACCGGCGCACGGGUGAGUAACGCGUAUCCAACCUGCCCAUCACUUGGGGAUAACCUUGCGAAAGUAAGACUAAUACCCAAUGACGUCUCUAGAAGACAUCUGAAGGAGAUUAAAGAUUUAUCGGUGAUGGAUGGGGAUGCGUCUGAUUAGCUUGUUGGCGGGGUAACGGCCCACCAAGGCGACGAUCAGUAGGGGUUCUGAGAGGAGGGUCCCCCACAUUGGAACUGAGACACGGUCCAAACUCCUACGGGAGGCAGCAGUGAGGAAUAUUGGUCAAUGGACGAGAGUCUGAACCAGCCAAGUAGCGUGCAGGAUGACGGCCCUAUGGGUUGUAAACUGCUUUUAUAAGGGAAUAAAGUGAGUCUCGUGAGACUUUUUGCAUGUACCUUAUGAAUAAGGACCGGCUAAUUCCGUGCCAGCAGCCG